CUUACCGGAAGUGGAACCGAAAGGUCACUCACUCGUGAAGGUGCCAGCAGACAUGCACACACACGCACUGUAAAUCGUUGAGAUACAGACACGGUGAAUCAAAUAUUCUACUUCUACACACACGCUAUAACAUGCAAUGAAAAGAACGGCACCACUUCCGACGGCGCCGUAGCGACCUCCACGCCAACCCAGAUCCCAAACCACGCACUGCAACGUAGACAGUAAGCCGCCCCAAAGCCACAACUCGAUCGACAGUUGGUUUGUCAGGAAAAGGUGGGUAUUGUAGCGCAUUUUAACUGUGACAUUACCUUGGAAGCUAAAUGAUUAAAAGAUUAAAAGAAAUACCUCAAUAGGCUAUGCACGUGCAGAGUCUCAAGCUCCACCACCUCGUCUAUGGCGACCUACAAUAAAUAAUUCUCAUCAGGCUUACAUGGAACAUUACGUGGCUGCAAGUAACAGAGCAAACUGCAACAUACCUUGAAAUCAUACAAGAACUUGUAUACCAGAACAGGGAGGAACAAGAACCACAACCAGGUGAGCAGAAAGAGCACACCCAUGUUGGUGACUGAUGUGGAUAGCGGAAUGAUUUGGCCUGCAAUGGUGAGAUGUCUGGCCGGGGUGAUAUGGCUUGUACUCCACUCUGCGCAGAAAAACACUGGCUGAAGGAGGAGGAGGGAACUGAAGUGAUGUCAUCCAUAAGUCAUCUUUCUUUUCCUGAUGUGUCCCGCCCUCUCUGGCCAGCUGCUUCAGAAGAGCUCAUUUCAGAAAGAAAAUCAUUAUAUCUACGCCAUUGGAUAAAACUAUAUCCACCUGUUUUCAUGUUUUGCAGUGCACAUUCUCAUUAAAUUAAUAUUUAAUAUUUUAAUAUUUCUAAUAUUUCAUCAGUUUAGAAUGGACCAGGUUGUCAUGGGCAUGCUUGUGGGCAUUCUGCCAAAGAACCACACCCCGUUAUCUAUACCGCACAUGGUAGAUAACUGUGCCGUUCUAAGAUAGAGCACAGUUCAGCUGUGUUAUGACUCCUCAAUAAGGCUUGGAUGCUCAAAGACUCACCAGCCAUGUCUAAAUACGUUUUUAUCUGUGUAGUAUGUUUACCAUUUCCCUAGUGUUUUAUAACCCCAAAGGACAGUGUUUGCAGAAUAACUGUAAUAUAAUUCAUGUUGUAUACCACAUGCCCUUUUCAUUUUGUAAGACUUAGACUAGAUUGAAUAGUCCAUCUUUAACAUAACCAGAAAAAAGGGAGGGUUUCAAGAGAAAACCCACAAAUGGAACAUUUCCUGUUUUUCUCUUAGUGGUUUUAUGGUAUAUAUGGGUGGCCAAAGCUGUUUGACAAAAAGGCUGAUGCUCUCACAGUAAAAAGGAAAUAAAAAGCUAUCGUUAGAAUAUGCUGAGAGACUGUGUGUCCCAAUAAGAAUACCAAUCACAGGGCACAACACAAAAAAUGAAAAACAAAUAUAAACCUGCUGUACGUAUGACUACAGCCUGUCUUCAUCAUUUAGAGUUUGGUUGCUUGACGAUUCAAUUUAAUACAAAAACCAUUUCAUCUGUAUAAAUUGCGUUACACACUGUCGCAAAAGCGCUUGUAAACCAGUCAUAAGUAACAUUUGGUCUCAUGCGCUGGUCAGCUUGCUGACUUCCCCCUCCUGGAGCAUACAUUGUUAGCCCCCACCGUUGGCACACAUGCCUGUGGGGGAGAGCUAGAGAAGGAUUCUUAGAGGCGCCUACUUGGGCCCUAGGGGACCCCCUUUUCACACAUUCCUGGUUAGAGCACAUGGAUAUUGGAGAUAGUAUAAAGAUGUUUCAUGGUAAUCCCAGGUCAGAAUAUAGUAAUGUUUGGUGUUAUUCUGAUUGGUUCAGUGCGACUGGUGUAAUGGUCUAGUUUUUGUAACAGUCUACCUUUGAUAGCAUAACCAUUCAGGAGCCGAGGGGAAACAGGGAAAAAGCUGUCUCUGUAGAAGCCAUGUGUUUUAGCCCCCUGCCUGGUGGGCCUGGCUGUAAAUUAUAGAUGGGUGACUCACUUUUAGGGUCAAAGGCUAAGGCCUGGAUUUCGGAGAUAAGGAGAAGAAACCAAACAGUCUGGGGUGUCUCCUUUCCUUUCAUUUACCCUGUAGGGCGGAAAUGGUUUAGGCACGGGAAGGGUUCAGAGGGCAUGGCCUGUUGGGCCCAUUAUUCCCUUCGACCCCCCUUUCUUACUCCCUCCCUCUCAGAUCUCCCUCUUCCUCAGUCACUAAAUGAUGUGUACAGCACUGGAUGUUUCAUGACAAAGUCAGUUUAGGUAAUAUUCAUGUUUGGUAUUAUUCUGAUUGUUUCAGUGCGACUGGUGCAAUGGUUUCAUUUCUGCAACAGCAAACCCUGGACAUCAUAACCAACCAGGAACCAGGGAUAAACUGUGUGGAGCAAUGCCCCAGUAAAAGCCAUGUGCCCCCUGCAUUUCCUGGGGAGGCGUGGCUCCAAAUUCCAGAUGGGUGAUCAAAUUUUGGGGUUAACAUCAUAGGCCAGAUUUUGGAUCUGGGAGAAUGCAAUCAGCCUCCCGUGCACACCGUGCACGUAAUUUCUAUGUACAGGGUGUCUGUAGCCAGACUCCCGUAUGUAGCUUUUAUUACCAGGUAUGACUUUUAAGACUCCGUAAUUUGGUUUCCGUUGUAAUGUUUUUUGAUUUGGAACUAGUUUGUAAUUACGUAUGUAACCUGCCUGGUGAAAUAAAUUGUUAAAACUU